rnacentral:rRNA from 1 species
UACAGAGGUCUCAAGCGUUGUUCGGAUUCAUUGGGCGUAAAGGGUGUGUAGGUGGUGCCGUAAGUCGGGUGUGAAAUUUCGGAGCUUAACUCCGAAACUGCAUUCGAUACUGCGGUGCUUGAGGACUGGAGAGGAGACUGGAAUUCAUGGUGUAGCAGUGAAAUGCGUAGAGAUCAUGAGGAAGACCAGUGGCGAAGGCGGGUCUCUGGACAGUUCCUGACACUGAGACACGAAGGCCAGGGAGCAAACGGG